rnacentral:rRNA from 1 species
UACAGAGGGUGCAAGCGUUAAUCGGAAUUACUGGGCGUAAAGCGUGCGUAGACGGUUAUGUAAGUCAGAUGUGAAAGCCCCGGGCUCAACCUGGGAAUUGCAUUUGAGACUGUGUAGCUAGGGUGCGGAAGAGGGAAGCGGAAUUUCCGGUGUAGCGGUGAAAUGCGUAGAUAUCGGAAGGAACACCGGUGGCGAAAGCGGCGCUCUGGUCCUCUUCUGACGCUGAGGCGCGAAAGCCAGGGGAGCAAACGGG